UACGUAGGAUGCAAGCGUUGUCCGGAAUUACUGGGCGUAAAGGGCGCGUAGGCGGCCUUCUAAGUCGAACGUGAAAUCCCCGGGCUCAACCCGGGAACUGCGUCCGAUACUGGAAGGCUUGAAUCCGGGAGAGGGAUGCGGAAUUCCAGGUGUAGCGGUGAAAUGCGCAGAGAUCGGGAGGAACACCCGUAGCGAAGGCGGCAUUCUGGGCCGGUACUGACGCUGAGGAGCGAAAGCGUGGGGAGCAAACAGG
rnacentral:rRNA from 1 species